GGUUAUUGCCGUAAUCUUAAAAAGCUUCCACUCGAUUCCAACAGUGCAAAGGAGCGUAAAUUUGUAAUUCGUGGAGAAGAAGACUGGUGGAACCGACUUCAAUGGGAGGAUGAAGCCACUCAAAUUGCUUUUCGUUCCUGUUUCCAACCAAUGGGAGUACUGAGCGGUGGUCGCAAAAUUUGAUUUCUGGUGAGUGCGUUUGUCUUUUAAAAGCAGAAUUUAAAAGAAAUUUAUUCUUGUCGUUUUCUUCUCUGUUUUUAUUUGAUUUCUGGUUAGUUUCUCUCUCGCACUGCCAUUACUGUUUUAAUUUCCUGUCAAAAGACGAGCGAGAAGAACAUAUAUAUGACGUAAACCAAUUGAUAAAUAUUAAUUGCCUGUUCUCUGUUUUUAUUAAGUAUACUUUAUUUUGCCCUGUUCUCUGUUUUUAUUUCAUUCUCUCUCUCUCCCUCUCUUUCCUGUCUUCUGCAAGUCAUAAUUAAAUGUUGAAUUAUAUGGAAUUAAUGCUUUAUAAAUCUGCCUACGCUGGCUUUUUUUUUUUUUUUUGUGGGGUCGAAUUGAUGCUCUGGUUUUCGACUACUUUUUGUUGUCAAAAUUUUCUCUGUUUUUUCAAAUUGAUGCUUUAUUUAUAUCUUCUUCGUGAAAAGUGAUUUAAUUUCCUGCCAAAAGACGAACGAGAAGAACAUUAGAGUCUAACUAAUGCUCACAUAAAUUUCCCGUAAGAAUAUAUAUAUAAUUAGACUGGAAUGCACACCUCUAGAUUGAACAGAAUUAAAGCUGAGAAAAUAUUGAGUAUAGUAGCCCUCUUUACAGAAAAUGACGCGAAAGUUAAUUUAGAAAAAGAUAUAUUCUUGAUUAAUCCAUUUUCUGAAGUUUUUUAUUUUGUAUGGUCAAUUAUACCUUCAUACUAAAAAUUUCUGAAGUUAUGGGGUUGUUGGAUGUGUUUUGGAUAUUUGCAGCUAAGUUUGAGUUUAUAUCUCAACUUAAAAUUUGUAGUUUUCACUUGAAAAAAUUCAGUUAAAAAUUUAUUGGUAGAAUUGUGAAAAAAGUUAAAAUUUUUAGUUCAACCCGAUUGCAUAUUUAAGAACAUCUCAAAUGAAUUGCUUACUGCUAUCAUCAUCAUUAUUGUCCAUAUAAUAAUGGAUCUUUAUUAUAUAUAUAUAUGUUUCCACUAAAAUAUAUUUAAUUAUUCUUUAUUUUUCCAUUGUUGCGUGUAAGAUUUAUUUGAGUUCUAAGUUAUAUCAAUACAAAUGUUAUCUUAUCCAUAAAAAAGUUAGAUCCAACAAUUAUGAAAAUUACCAUAGAGUUGCUUUCAAUUAUUUUUUAAAAAUACCAGGAGUAAAUAAUAAUUAGUUCAAGUGGUGUAGACUAAAAAGUGUUCACCUUUAUUUUUUAUCUGUUAUUUAUUUAUUUCAUUAAUGCACAUGCUAUACAUUUGAGACACUCCAUCCUAUGCAAUGUGAAUAAAUUUCUUUCCUUUUUCCUUUACUCUUUUUAUUUGACAAUAAAGUUUCCAUCUAUCAUCUAUCAUCUAUCAUCUAUGUACGCAAAAUUUCUGCAACAAGUACAAAACAUAAAAAUAUAUAUGAUUGUUAAGGGAAACACGCAGAAGUUCAUCAUUUCAAUGUUCAGUAUUACCAAUUUUGGCAUUAAGCUUGUACGAAUAUAUUCCACUUAGAAAGCAAAAUAUUAGACUCAUGAUUUUAAUUCAUUCAUUAUCUCUCAUUUUAAUCCCAAAAUAUUCAAGAGUAUCCAAGUUACCAUAAGACUUCAGAGGCUCGAGCCUUAGCCAGAGAUGGUUAAUUGAUAGACUAUGUGCCUGGGUCGAGCACUGGAAGCCUGCAAUGCAGACUGAUUGAUUUAUCAGUUUGACGUGUGCCAGGAAUGAAGAACUGGAAUAUCACCGUCAAGCACGCACCCUGUGGAGCAAUACCAAAGAAUGCACAAUCUGGCUUUGCUAGGUGACACUGGAGGCUUUUUGAAAAGUGCUUCACGCUCACUUGCACAGAUUGAGCAUCCCCUCCGGAUAUUGCCCUCUCUGAUCGAGUCCGAGCACUCAAAUUUCAAUCCUCAGAUGGAGCUACAGCUUUCUCUCCAAUAACCAACAAUUUUCUAAACUCAGCUCCUAGUGUGAUGAGAGUUGUUGAUAUUUGUAAAUGGAGAUCCCCAUAUUUGCAAAUGGAGACAUUUAACAAAUCACCAACAUGCUUCAUUCGGUCUACGAAAUUCUGCAGCUGAUUCAAAUCCGGAACCUGAACCAGAGUCGGAGGUAAAUCUUGAGCCAUAUCUAAAGCAGUCUGAAGUUCAAGUACUUGAGCCCUUGACAAUGGUUUUGAAAUAGGAACAUCUUGGAUUACUGCAGACUUGUACCCCUUGGUUUCAAAGGUAAGGAAAGGCAUUGCUUGAGUACAAUUUGGAGGCAGCUUCUUCACCAAUUUUAUUUGGAGGCGAUUGGCAGCGGAUCCAGCUGCACCAAUUUCAGAGCAAAUACUGACACUACUUCGAACAGCACACUGAAGAAGUGAUAUGUCUACGGCAAAGGCAAUGCAGUCCUCAUUUUGGCUUGAGAUGCAGUAAUCAUCGAAGAGAGUUUCCUUGUGAAACUGGGCAACACAUUGAAUCCCUUCGCCACUGAGAAGGUUGUGGAGGAAGUAAGCUUUCUCUCUAGUGAGGAAGAGGUGGCAUACCUUCCCCAUUUUGUCUAGGGCAGGUAGGAAUCAUUUUUCUAAGAGAUUUACUUCAUUCUCUGUGAGAAAUGAAUUGAACUUCAUCCCUCUGUCUCUAUCCUCACUUAUCAGAAAAUAAGUUGAAAGCACUUCGGAGAGAGAGAGAGAGAGAAUUAAGAUAUAUAGACAAGAAAAAUAUUAGACGUUGAUCUUACAAACUAAUACUUCAAGCAGUAUCCUAGAAAGCUAAAAACUGCAAGAUGGCUUGAAAUUUGAAAAGAGCACGUGCUUUUCCUCCUUAACUUGAGAAAAUGUUUAAUAUAGUGCACCUACAGAAGCAUUUAAGCAAUUAGAACUUUGCACAAAAACAUCAAGAAGACUAAACAAAUCAGAUGCAGUGUAUUUGUCCAAGCACAAAUUGCAUUUUGUCCUCAACUUUAAUAUUUAUUGAUGAGAAUCAAUACAGGUCCCUCAUUUGAUAUAGAAAGCUUUCUUUCUUGUAGUCUCACCAGUUAAUUCACAGGUCUAUAAUCAUCUUGCAAAGUUAAGGGCAUUUCUUUCGAUCUAAAGUCUUUGCAUCACCACCUCAUCACACGCCAAGCCAAUAUUCCAUUUACCUCUACAACAAAAAGUUUUAAGUAAACAAUCCUAAUGCACGCAGCCAAAUAAAAUGCAGUAAGAAUAUUCAACUUAAAAAUCUGAAAGCCGACUUGGUGAAUUGCCUCCUUAGGUGAAGUUCCAUGCUUUACUAUAGUUGACAGAACUCAGCAAAAGCUUCCAUACAACAGAUUUUGAAAAUGAUGAUGCCAAUAGAUACUCAUUCAAUCCAUUGAAAAUCCAAAGGUUCAUUGUUAAUAGAAGUUUACAGAGUUUUGGUCAUCAAAUAGCUCAGACCUAAUCCCAAACAAAAAACGAGUGAAAAUUAGAUCACGAGCAGCUGAUUGUAAAUUCUAACUUAACUCUUCAUCUCCUUUGUAAACAAGAAACAAAAUGGAGACACGCAAAAUGAAUAUGGAGAAAAUUUGAACUCAAAUGAAAUGAGGGCACGAAAGCAAACAAAUGGCAUGCACAAAAAAACCAAGCCUCAAUCAAAAACUAAUUAACCAUUAAGAAAAAAAUUGGUCAGAUAAUGAACUACAAAUUCAGGAGUCAAGCAAGAAGCUUUCAUUAUUUCAGAAGCUCCUGUACAAAUUAAUAAGUUAUGCUCUUUGGAAGCAAACCUAAAUUCCAAGAGAAACAGAACCCAAAAAAUUUGCAAUUAUACGCAAAGGGAGUGAAGCACAGGAUUCUAUCACACAUAGGAAUUGUAUAACAAGAGAUCGAUAUAUCGAAUUAGAAAACUCAAUUCGAAUUUGUGUCAAAAAUCAAAAUUAGAAGAUUUCACAUUUCGAGAGGAACAAGCAACAGAUGAAGUUCAAAAUUUCAGCCAUAACAUGCUAAAAAUGCUACACUUAACGGUUCAUUUUCAUGGAUUUUCUCGGGAAACAAACAGAAAAUUACGGUUUAGAGAUUUGACUGACCUUUUGGCUUUUGAAAUUGAGAAGAUCGCACGCCAAAUUGGAAGAGGGAAAGUGAAAGUGCGAGUUUUAAUAUGGGUAUUAGAUAAGGAAAUUUUAUUAGGUUGCGAGGGUAAAAAAGGAAAGAGAUAUCAUUGUUUUAUUAUCGAUAAUUAUUAAAUUUUUUUCCAAAAAAAAAGAACAAGCAAGGAUAUUUUAUUGUCAUUUGCAACCUUUAAUUUUUUAAAUGCUAUUAGAAACACAAGACAAUAAAGAAAUACUUAUUUUUUUCUAAAACUAAAAUCAAUUGUUUAAAAAAAAUUGUUUCAAAAUUACUUGAGUCAUAUCCAAUGGACCAACAAAGUAAUCGUUUUUAUUUUUAUUGAUUUUUGCAGGAAAUUAAUAACUUAAAAAUACUGAAAGCUAUUGUAAAAAUUUUUAUUAUCAACCUCAUAGUUUUUUUUUUUUUUUUUGGGAAGAGAAUUCAAACUUUUUUUUUUAUGAAUAUCGCUGUUUCGUUUGAGUUGGAUGUGAAUUCAAAUACAAAUAUUCUUUGUUUUUCAAUUCUGAACUCAAUUUCUUUUUUUCAAGAAUGUUAUGCAGAAAUGAUUUUUACUGAACGGCAACAAAUGAAAAGGCUGGGCCAAGUGGAAUGGUGGGUUUCGAGGGUGGAUGCUGUUAAAAUUGAAGCUGAUGAACUUAUCAGAGACGGCUCUCAAGAAAUUGACAAAUUGUGUGUUGGAGGCUACUGUUCUAAGAACUGCACGUCAAGCUACAAGUUCGGGAAACAAGUGGCUAAAAAGCUACGAGAUGUGGAGACUUUAAUCGCUGAAGGAGUUUUUGAGGCGGUGGCUACCGAGGUGGUGCCUGAGAGAGCAGAGCCUGUAGCAGAUGAAAGACCUACCGAGCGAACAGUAGUAGGCUUGCAAUCACAACUUGAACAAGUCUGGAGAUGUCUUGCAGAAGAAUCAGAGGGAAUCAUUGGCCUAUAUGGUAUGGGCGGUGUUGGUAAAACUACAUUACUGACCCAUAUCAACAAUAAAUUUCUCGAGAGUCCAACCAACUUUGAUUGUGUGAUUUGGGUAGUAGUUUCAAAAGACCUGCGACUUGAAAAAAUUCAAGAAGAUAUUGGGAAAAAGAUAGGUUUGGUUGGUGAUUCAUGGAAGAGUAAAAGUGUAGAGGAGAAAGCUGUCGACAUCUUCCGGAGUUUAAGAGAGAAGAGAUUUGUAUUGUUGUUAGAUGAUAUAUGGGAGCGGGUUGAUUUAACAAAGGUGGGCGUUCCACUUCCCGGACCCCAAAAUACUACCUCAAAAGUCGUAUUCACAACCCGUUUCAUCGAUGUUUGUGGUAGCAUGGAAGCUGACAGGAAGUUCCAAGUGGCGUGCUUAUCAGAAAAGGAUGCUUGGGAACUGUUUCGAGAAAAAGUUGGGGAAGAAACUCUUCAGAGUCAUCAUGAUAUCGUUGAGCUAGCCCAAAUUGUGGCCAAAGAGUGUGGUGGUUUGCCACUCGCACUUAUUACUAUUGGUCGAGCUAUGGCCUGCAAAAGGACAGCCGAGGAGUGGAGACACGCAGUUGAAGUGCUAAGAAGAUCAGCUUUUGAGUUUGCAGGUUUGGGAAAAGAGGUAUAUCCUCUAUUAAAGUUUAGCUAUGAUAGUUUGCAGAAUGAGACGAUUAGAUCUUGUUUCUUAUAUUGUUGUUUAUAUCCCGAAGAUUAUGGAAUUCUUAAAUGGGACUUGAUUGAUUGUUGGAUUGGUGAGGGAUUCUUAGAGGAAUCUGACAGGUUUAGUGCAGAAAACCAAGGAUACUACAUUGUGGGCACUCUUGUUCAUGCAUGUUUAUUAGAAGAGUUAGAAGAUGAUAAAGUAAAAAUGCAUGACGUUAUUCGUGAUAUGGCUCUAUGGAUAACCAAUGAAAUUGAGAAGGAGAAGAGAAACUUUUUGGUUCGUGCAGGUGCUGGAUUAAAAGAGGCACCGGAUAUUAAAGGAUGGGAAAAUGUGAGAAGAUUGUCAUUGAUGCAAAACCAAAUUAAAACUCUGUCAGAGGUUCCUUCAUGCCCUCAUCUCCAUACUCUAUUUCUUGCCUCUAAUGAUAAUUUGAGGAUGAUCACAGAUGGCUUCUUUCAAUUUAUGCCUUCUCUCAAAGUUUUGAAGAUGUCAAACUGUGUGGAUUGGCCAGUUUCGAAAUUACCUUUGGCGAUGUCAAAGUUGGGUUCACUACAACUUCUUGAUAUUUCACAUACCGGCAUAGAAGAGUUACCAGAAGAGUUGAAGUUGUUGGUAAAUCUGAAAUGUUUGAAUUUGAGGUGGACAUUUGAGUUAAAUAAAAUUCCAUGGCAACUAAUAUCAAAAUUUUCAAGGUUACGUGUGUUGAGAAUGUUCGCUACUGGCUUUGCCCGUUUUGAUGAAGCAUCAGAAGACAGCGUUUUAUUUGGUGGGGGUGAAGUUUUAGUACAGGAAUUGGUCGGUCUGAAAUAUUUAGAGGUAUUGGAGUUGACCUUGGGAUGUCAUCAUGCUCUCCAAAUUUUUUUGAGAUCAAAUAAGUUAAAAAGUUGUAUUCGAUCUCUUCUCCUCCACUUGGCCGGAGAUACAACGUCGAUUAUCGAUGCUACGGCUUUCGCAGAUCUAAACCACCUCAAUGAAUUAUGGAUUGAUAGGGCUAAGGAGUUGGAAGAAUUGAAGAUUGAUUAUACAGAGAUAGUUCGAAAAAGGCGGGAACCUUUUGUUUUCCGCAGCCUUCACCGUGUUACUAUACAUAGCUGCCAGAAGUUGAAAGAUACGACAUUCCUCGUUUUUGCUCCAAACCUCAAGUCUCUCGAUCUAGACCGUUGCGAUGCUAUGGAAGAAAUAAUCAGCGUCGGAAAAUUUGCUGAGACUCCUGAGAUGAUGGGACAGAUAAGCCCUUUUGAAAAUCUCCAAAUGCUUGAUUUAGAAGAUUUGCCACAUUUGAAGAGCAUCUUCUGGAAGCCAUUGACUUUCACUCAUCUGAAAGAAAUAUCUGUGGGUUAUUGCCGUAAUCUUAAAAAGCUUCCACUCGAUUCCAACAGUGCAAAGGAGCGUAAAUUUGUUAUUCGUGGAGAAGAAGACUGGUGGAACCGACUUCAAUGGGAGAAUGAAGCCACUCAAAUUGCUUUUCGUUCCUGUUUCCAAUCUCUUUUUGAUUAACUCUUAUACAUUUUCUCGUCGUUUGCUUCGUGCAAAAAAGACUACGUCUUUUGUUCUCUGUUUUUAUUUCAGUUUCGUUUGUUGUCUCCUGCAAAUCACAAUUAAAUGUUGAAUUAUAUGGAAGUAACGCUUUAUAAAUUUUCCGGCACUGCCAUUU
rnacentral:lncRNA from 1 species